GGGGGGGGAUAUAAAUGUGAGUGAGUGCAGGCAGGGGCUCAGGGAUCUGUAUCAGCCCUGUGUGCAGUGAUCACUAUGGUGUCCCACAGCUGCUGGCUGCCUCUACUCAUGCUCUGGCUUCCCGGUUCCUAUGGGCAGAUUGUGCUGACUCAGUCCCCAGAUUAUGUCUCUGUGUCACCGGGAGAAACUGUCACCUUCACAUGUAAAGCCAGUAGCAGUGUUGGGAGCAGCCUACACUGGUACCAACAGAAAUCAGGGCAGGCACCAAAGCUGCUGAUCCGUUAUGCAAGUACCCGACACACAGGGACCCCAGAGCGGAUCAGCGGCAGCGGUUCUGGAACUGAUUUCACCCUUACAAUCAGCAGAAUGGAAGCAGAAGAUGCAGCAGAUUAUUACUGUAUGCAGACAUACACUUACCCUUUCACACAGUGAUACAGAGCUGAACAAAAACCUUCCCCUUUAUGAAGAUCUGUGAAUACAAGAAACUGACAGUCAGCGCCUCACUGGCUUCAGUUCCGUUGGGUGCCGGUCCCACCAGUAAAGUGAUGCAAAUGCUCUUCAAGCUGUUGGAACACGGCUGUAUGUCACACUAACUCACAGCUUGGUACUAUUUCGUAAUAUGUAUAAACUGGUUAGUUUUAGUAUGAAAUGUAUUACAUUCUGCAGUCAUAUGUUUAGAUUAAUGUUUAUUAUGAUUUAGUGCCAGCCGGUCUGUUGAGCUAAAAUGGAAGGAAAGAACACAAACCAGUAGCUACAUCCCCCGAAAAGAGCCCGACAGCCCCCCAUCAGCUCCCAUUCACUCACUGAGAAACACUGCUCAGCCCAAGGUUACUCACCAGGGCAUUUUUGGGCUGGAAACAGUCAGUACUGACACUGCCAGGGGUUUGCCAGUUACGGUAACAGGGGGCGGCAGGGGCAGAUCUCAGGCAGUUUCACGUAGAUGAGCCCCCCGUGUGCUAUCAGCCU